GACGAACGCUGGCGGCGUGCUUAACACAUGCAAGUCGAACGCUGAAGACCUGGCUUUUGUUGGGUUGGGUGAGUGGCGAACGGGUGAGUAACACGUGAGUAACCUGCCCUCUUCUUUGGGAUAACGCCCGGAAACGGGUGCUAAUACUGGAUAUUCACUGAUCUUCGCAUGGGGGUUGGUGGAAAGGGUUGUUCUGGUGGGGGAUGGGCUCGCGGCCUAUCAGCUGGUUGGUGGGGUGAUGGCCUACCAAGGCUUUGACGGGUAGCCGGCCUGGGAGGGUGACCGGGCACGUUGGGAGUGGGCUUCGGCCCAGACGCCUGCGGGAGGCAGCAGUGGGGGAUAUUGCACAAUGGGCGAGAGCCUGAGGCGGCGACGCCGCGUGAGGGAGGGGGGCCUGCGGGUUGGAAACCUCUUUCGCGCAUGGUCAAGCCGCAACUGUGGGUUGUGGUGAGGGUAGUGGGUAAAGAAGCGCCGGCUAACUACGUG
rnacentral:rRNA from 1 species